UGGGGAAUAUUGGACAAUGGGGGCAACCCUGAUCCAGCAAUGCCGCGUGUGUGAAGAAGGCCUUAGGGUUGUAAAGCACUUUAGGCUGGGAGGAAGAUAUGUAGUUUAAGAGAUGACAUAUUUGACUGUACCGGCAGAAUAAGCACCGGCUAACUCUGUG
rnacentral:rRNA from 1 species